GAUGAACGCUAGCUACAGGCUUAACACAUGCAAGUCGAGGGGCAGCAUGGUCUUAGCUUGCUAAGGCCGAUGGCGACCGGCGCACGGGUGAGUAACACGUAUCCAACCUGCCGUCUACUCUUGGACAGCCUUCUGAAAGGAAGAUUAAUACAAGAUGGCAUCAUGAGUCCGCAUGUUCACAUGAUUAAAGGUAUUCCGGUAGACGAUGGGGAUGCGUUCCAUUAGAUAGUAGGCGGGGUAACGGCCCACCUAGUCUUCGAUGGAUAGGGGUUCUGAGAGGAAGGUCCCCCACAUUGGAACUGAGACACGGUCCAAACGCCUACGGGAGGCAGCAGUGAGGAAUAGUGGGCAAGGGGCGCAGGCCUGAACCAGCCAAGUAGCGUGAAGGAUGACUGCGCUAUGGGUUGUAAACUUCUUUUAUAAAGGAAUAAAGUCGGGUAUGGAUACCCGUUUGCAUGUACUUUAUGAAUAAGGAUCGGCUAACUCCGUG
rnacentral:rRNA from 1 species